CGCAGGUACCGCACACGUGCCCCCGGAGGAUGCCCGCGCCGGCGCGCCUCUGGUUACUACUCGUAUUGGAAAAGGGCAGGGAGGAAAUCCCCCUUCCCCCGUGUGCUCCCGGGCUCCGCCAGGCCUGCUGCUUUCCACGCAGCCGACGGGAGAAAGGGGAUGUUGCGGAGGCCGCUGGAGGGUUCCCAAAGUCUCGCAGUCUUGGUCUCAAAAUUGCAGUUGAGUUUUAUUUGGAGUGAGCCUUGGAGGAGCUCAGCGCACAGGCAGCACGGGUGCUCUUGAGCGCGGGAUUCCCUCUCCCGAUAUCCCCUGGCCAGCCCUUUCAUAGCUCAUGGCUGUCUAAAAACCUCUGCCAUGGACUGCCCUUGUGCCCUCCCUGUGCUCCCCAGUUUCUGUCACCGUGUGCCCGGUCUCAGCUUUCUCCAGCUCCUCAUGCUUUCAGGAGAAAUGGUUUUUCCCCCGUCAAGAAAAAAAAAAGCCGUGAAAGCCCCACAAAACCAAAUAAAUUGCUGAGCUUUCCAGGCCGAGUAGGUUCCCCAUCCCUGUUCACCUGCAGCCCGCCCUCUUGGACUUUGUUAGUGAACUGUGAAAUGUGGAGUUUGGACGUGUGGGACCGCUCCGAAGGGACACCGGCACGGAGAGCUGGUCUCGGGAGAGGCAGCAAGCUACAGAUAAGAAGUUAUCCAGGACGCUACGGGAGAAGCCUGAUGGAGAGGGGCUUGCGGAUGGGAGCGAGAGAAAACUACAUUUACAGUAAAUAAAAGCAUCACCCACAGAGGAUCUCUCAACUCAGUGACCUUUGAAGUUGCAAGGACACAUGGCCUAGACAGGUAAGGGAAUUACAUUACUCAUUAUUUUACAGUGGUUUGGGGCUGUGAAGCAUGCUUGUACAAGGAAAGAGCAGUUUGCAAAACUGUUUAAAAAGAACUGGAUUUGUCAGCCAUGACAACAGCUAGGGGAAGAUUUAAAUAAAAUAAUAGGUGUUUUUCGCCUUUAAUGUCUA
rnacentral:lncRNA from 1 species